rnacentral:lncRNA from 1 species
UCAUAGACUAUUUAAACAUUAGUAUGAAAUAGUUAAACAGUAGUAUGAUUAUUAGUGAGCAUGACAUAAGGAUGUAGGACCUAUGAAUAUUCUUAGGUAAAGGAGAGUCAUGCGUAUUGGUUGCAAAAAUAAAAAUGUAUUUACAGAUUUUUGACUCUAGUAAUGAGUUAGGAAUGUGGUGAUACAUUUAUGUUAUUCUUUUUUAUUUGGUUUAGUGUUGAGGCUAAUUUGCAUAAUUAUUUUCAUGAUCUCAUGUUUUAAAUUAGAGUUAUUUAGUUUAGUUUCUUUAAGUUUCCAUAUGGGUAACAGCUACUU